CUCUCUGAAUCUGCGAACGGCUCCGCAAACCAGUUGUAAACUAGAGCAAGCAAGCUUGGCGGGCUUCGGCCUCCAGGCGAUAUGGAUAACCCUGGUAAUUCUGAGGCUAAUACAAGAACGUAACCCCUGGUCGACUGGGCAACUGGAAGGCUGGGGAACGUGCGAUUCAUCGCAAAAAUCCACUGGGAAUAGGCGCACGUUCGGACCACCAUACCAAACGGUUUCACUGAUUUUCUGGGUGGCUCUUGCUGUGUGCUUCUGACCUAUCAACUAGAUGGCAGCGUAACGGACAUGCUAUGGUUACAACGGGUACAGAGGAUAAGGGUUCGAUCCUGGAGAGUGGGCCUGAGAGAUU
rnacentral:rRNA from 1 species